GCUAAACGCGAAGAACCUUACCUGGCCUUGACAUGCUGAGAACUUUCCAGAGAUGGAUUGGUGCCUUCGGGAACUCAGACACAGGUGCUGCAUGGCUGUCGUCGGCUCGUGUCGUGAGAUGUUGGGUUAAGUCCCGUAACGAGCGCAACCCUUGUCCUUAGUUACCAGCACGUUAUGGUGGGCACUCUAAGGAGACUGCCGGUGACAACCGGAGGAAGGUGGGGAUGACGUCAAGUCAUCAUGGCCCUCACGGCCAGGGCUACACACGUGCUACAAUGGUCGGUACAGAGGGUUGCCAAGCCGCGAGGUGGAGCUAAUCUCACAAAACCGAUCGUAGUCCGGAUCGCAGUCUGCAACUCGACUGCGUGAAGUCGGAAUCGCUAGUAAUCGUGAAUCAGAAUGUCACGGUGAAUACGUUCCCGGGUCUUGUACACACCG
rnacentral:rRNA from 1 species